UGGGGAAUCUUAGACAAUGGGGGCAACCCUGAUCCAGCAAUGCCGCGUGCAGGAAGAAGGCCUUCGGGUUGUAAACUGCUUUUGUACGGAACGAAAAGGCUCUGGUUAAUACCUGGGGCUCAUGACGGUACCGUAAGAAUAAGCACCGGCUAACUACGU
rnacentral:rRNA from 1 species